UACGGGGGGUGCGAGCGUUGUCCGGAAUCACUGGGCGUAAAGGGCGCGUAGGUGGCCUGAUAAGGGUGUGGUGAAAGUCCGGGGCUCAACCCCGGAUCUGCCGUGCCGACUGUUAGGCUAGAGUACUGUAGGGGCAGGCGGAAUUCCGGGUGUAGCGGUGGAAUGCGUAGAUAUCGAGAGGAACACCUGCGGCGAAGGCGGGUAGCUGGGCCGACACUGACGCUGAGGCGCGAAAGCCAGGGAGCGAACGGG
rnacentral:rRNA from 1 species